AUUGAACGCUGGCGGCAUGCCUUACACAUGCAAGUCGAACGGCAGCACGGGAGCAAUCCUGGUGGCGAGUGGCGAACGGGUGAGUAAUAUAUCGGAACGUGCCCAGUAGUGGGGGAUAACUGCUCGAAAGAGCAGCUAAUACCGCAUACGACCUGAGGGUGAAAGGGGGGGGACCGAAAGGCCUCGCGCGAUUGGAGCGGCCGAUGUCGGAUUAGCUAGUUGGUAGGGUAAAGGCCUACCAAGGCGACGAUCCGUAGCGGGUCUGAGAGGAUGAUCCGCCACACUGGGACUGAGACACGGCCCAGACUCCUACGGGAGGCAGCAGUGGGGAAUUUUGGACAAUGGGCGCAAGCCUGAUCCAGCCAUGCCGCGUGAGUGAAGAAGGCCUUCGGGUUGG
rnacentral:rRNA from 1 species